rnacentral:rRNA from 1 species
GACGAACGCUGGCGGCGUGCUUAACACAUGCAAGUCGAACGGAAAGGCCCUGCUUUUGUGGGGUGCUCGAGUGGCGAACGGGGGAGUAACACGUGAGUAACCUGCCCUUGACUUUGGGAUAACUUCAGGAAACUGGGGCUAAUACCGGAUAGGAGCUCCUGCUGCAUGGUGGGGGUUGGAAAGUUUCGGCGGUUGGGGAUGGACUCGCGGCUUAUCAGCUUGGUGGUGGGGUAGUGGCUUACCAAGGCCUUGACGGGUAGCCGGCCUGAGAGGGUGACCGGCCACACUGGGACUGAGAUACGGCCCAGACUCGUACGGGACGCAGCAGUGGAGAAUAUUGCACAAUGGGCGGAAGCCUGAUGCAGCAACGCCGCGUGCGGGAUGACGGCCUUCGGGUUGUAAACCACUUUCGCCUGUGACGAAGUGUGAGUGACGGUAAUGGGUAAAGAAGCACCGGCUAACUACGUG